rnacentral:rRNA from 1 species
GGGGGGGGGGGGGGGGGGGGGUGGGGGGGGGGGGUCGGGCGGGCGGGCGGGGCGCUUGCUCCUCUGGCGUGGGCGGCGGGCGGGUGAGUGACACGUGGAUAACCUACCUCUAAGACUGGGAUAACUUCGGGGAACCGGAGCUCAUCCCGGAUAACAUGUUGACCCGCAUGGUUCAACCGUGAACGACGGUCUUGCUGUCACUUCUAGAUGGAUCCGCGCCGCAUUAUCUAGUUGGUAAGGUAACGGCUUACCAAGGCAACGAUGCGUCGCCGACCUGAGAGGGGGAUCGGCCACACUGGAACGGAGACACGGUCCAGACUCCUACGGGAGGCAGCAGUAGGGAAUCUUCCGCAAUGGGCGAAAGCCUGACGGAGCAACGCCGCGUGAGUGAAGAAGGUCUUCGGAUCGUAAAACUCUGUUAUUAGGGAAGAACAAAUGUGUAAGUAACUAUGCACGUCUUGACGGUACCUAAUCAGAAAGCCACGGCUAACUACGUG